GGGGCGAGCGCCGGAUCCUGGGCCGUGUCCCCCGGCGCCCUGGGCUUCGGGGCCUGCGCCGCUGGAAUUGCGCUCCCGGCCGUGCAGCCCCCU
rnacentral:pre_miRNA from 1 species